rnacentral:rRNA from 1 species
UACGUAGGUGGCAAGCGUUGUUCGGAAUUAUUGGGCGUAAAGGGCGCGUAAGCGGCAUGUUAAGUCGGCUGUGAAAGCCCGGGGCUCAACCCCGGAGGGUCGGCCGAUACUGGCAAGCUAGAGUACAGAAGAGGUAGCUGGAGUUCCCGGUGUAGCGGUGAAAUGCGUAGAUAUCGGGAGGAACACCUGAGGCGAAGGCGGGCUACUGGGCUGAUACUGACGCUGAUGCGCGAAAGCCAGGGGAGCGAACGGG